rnacentral:rRNA from 1 species
UACGUAGGGGGCUAGCGUUGUCCGGAAUCAUUGGGCGUAAAGAGCGUGUAGGCGGUCCGGUAAGUCCGUUGUGAAAGUCAGGGGCUCAACCCUUGAAUGCCGGCGGAUACUGUCGGGCUAGAGUCCGGAAGAGGCAAGUGGAAUUCCCGGUGUAGCGGUGAAAUGCGCAGAUAUCGGGAGGAACACCGAUUGCGAAGGCAGCUCGCUGGAACGUUACUGACGCUGAGACGCGAAAGCGUGGGGAGCAAACAGG